rnacentral:rRNA from 1 species
GACGAACGCUGGCGGCGUGCCUAAUACAUGCAAGUAGAACGCACAGUUUAUACCGUAGCUUGCUACACAAUAAACUGUGAGUUGCGAACGGGUGAGUAACGCGUAGGUAACCUGCCUGGUAGCGGGGGAUAACUAUUGGAAACGAUAGCUAAUACCGCAUAAUAUUGAUUAUUGCAUGAUAAUUGAUUGAAAGAUGCUAUUGCAUCACUACCAGAUGGACCUGCGUUGUAUUAGCUAGUAGGUGAGGUAACGGCUCACCUAGGCGACGAUACAUAGCCGACCUGAGAGGGUGAUCGGCCACACUGGGACUGAGACACGGCCCAGACUCCUACGGGAGGCAGCAGUAGGGAAUCUUCGGCAAUGGACGAAAGUCUGACCGAGCAACGCCGCGGGAGUGAAGAAGGUUUUCGGAUCGUAAAGCUCUGUUGUAAGAGAAGAACGGGUGUGAGAGUGGAAAGUUCACACUGUGACGGUAUCUGACCAGAAAGGGACGGCUAACUACGUG